AUUGAACGCUGGCGGCAUGCCUUACACAUGCAAGUCGAACGGCAGCACGGGAGCAAUCCUGGUGGCGAGUGACGAACGGGUGAGUAAUACAUCGGAACGUGCCCAGUAGUGGGGGAUAACCCGGCGAAAGCCGGACUAAUACCGCAUACGACCUACGGGUGAAAGCAGGGGAUCGCAAGACCUUGCGCUAUCGGAGCGGCCGAUGUCAGAUUAGCUUGUUGGCGGGGUAAAAGCCACCAAGGCGACGAUCUGUAGCUGGUCUGAGAGGACGACCAGCCACACUGGGACUGAGACACGGCCCAGACUCCUACGGGAGGCAGCAGUGGGGAAUUUUGGACAAUGGGCGCAAGCCUGAUCCAGCCAUGCCGCGUGCGGGAAGAAGGCCU
rnacentral:rRNA from 1 species